CAGAUCUCCAGCACUGUUUUGGAUCUCUGUUAUUCCAUAUUCAACAGCAUGCAUACAAAUGAGGAAUCACAGAUUGCUGCUACAAAGUUUACAAAGAAGGAUAGUCAUGGGACUCUGGGACGGCCUUUUUUCCUUUUCAGGCCUCGAAAUGGAAGAACUAUCAAAAGCAGUGAAUACCAAUGAAUAUGAAGUUUAUGGGUCGACUUACCAGCUCGAUGACUUGGUUUAUACAAAGAAAAGAGACUUUCUGUUGCACUGGUGGUCUGUUAUGUGACUCGGUUGUCUAGAAUUUGCUGUUCCAUGUAAUAAAUUUGCAAUCAUUAA